rnacentral:rRNA from 1 species
AUUGAACGCUGGCGGCAGGCCUAACACAUGCAAGUCGAACGAGUGGCGGACGGGUGAGUAAUGUCUGGGAAACUGCCCGAUGGAGGGGGAUAACUACUGGAAACGGUAGCUAAUACCGCAUACCAUCGGAUGUGCCCAGAUGGGAUUAGCUCGUAGGUGGGGUAACGGCUCACCUAGGCGACGAUCCCUAGCUGGUCUGAGAGGAUGACAAGACACACUGGAACUGAGACACGGCCCAGAAGACUAAGGGAGGCAGCAGGGGGGAAUAUUGCACAAUGGGCGAAAGCCUGAUGCAGCCAUGCCGCGGGUAUGAAGAAGGACUUCGGGUUGUAAAGUACUUUCAGAGAGGAGGCGUUACUCGAAGAAGAAGCACCGGCUAACUCCGUGCCAGCCGCCGCGGUAAUUC